rnacentral:rRNA from 1 species
AUUGAACGCUGGCGGCAUGCCUUACACAUGCAAGUCGAACGGUAACAGGUCUUCGGAUGCUGACGAGUGGCGAACGGGUGAGUAAUACAUCGGAACGUGCCCGAUCGUGGGGGAUAACGGAGCGAAAGCUUUGCUAAUACCGCAUACGAUCUACGGAUGAAAGCAGGGGACCGCAAGGCCUUGCGCGGACGGAGCGGCCGAUGGCAGAUUAGGUAGUUGGUGGGAUAAAAGCUUACCAAGCCGACGAUCUGUAGCUGGUCUGAGAGGACGACCAGCCACACUGGGACUGAGACACGGCCCAGACUCCUACGGGAGGCAGCAGUGGGGAAUUUUGGACAAUGGGCGAAAGCCUGAUCCAGCCAUGCCGCGUGCAGGAUGAAGGCCUUCGGGUUGUAAACUGCUUUUGUACGGAACGAAAAGACUCUUUCUAAUAAAGAGGGUCCAUGACGGUACCGUAAGAAUAAACACCGGCGAACUACGU